GGCAGCCUUGAGAGAGAAGGCAUAAGAAACCCCAGAGAGACUGCAAGGGACUGCAGAGGAGAGCUGAGCCUGGGUGAAAGGAGCUGACAGACCUGUCAGCUCAGUUAAGGAGCCUCAUGCUCUGUGGUGUCUGCCGGGGUUCCAUCUCCCAAGGAGAAGAGCUCUGAGUGAAGAGGCUUGCAGCUCUGCAUCCCCCACCCAGCGCAUACGCGCAGGCUUUCUCUGAGGAUGCAGCUCAUUACUGGCUAUUAUUUUCUUUUCUUCACCUGGAGAAAUCCUGGGACUCUUGACAGCAGCAGGGAGAGGACUAUGUGCUUUGGUCCUCUGUGAUUCAGAGUCCAUCUGGAAUCUCUUCAUGGCCGCUGCCUCGCUGGCACGGGCUUUGGACUGAAGCAAGCUUAGGACAAGUUUGGGUUCUAGAGAGCGGCAAGCAGAGUAUCUGUUCGGACAUCCCUUGCUGAUUUUUAGAUGUGACUGCCAGACUCCUGCUGGUCUCAGGUCCAGAGCCCUGGCCGCACCCCCCCCCCCUUCCUCAACCAACGUCUUACCAGUCUUCCUCAACCAACGUCAACUCCCAGGGCUGACACCUUGGAACAUGGCCUCUCUCAAGCCUCAAGCCCCAAGCUGAGCUCCUGUCCCUACCUCAGGCAGGAUCUCACGGAUGCUUCUAAUGAAGUUCUCUCCGACUCUGUCUGAGCACCCACCACGCGAGGAAGGAGCUGCGGCCGACGGCCCUCAGCCCCGGCUGCUGACAGCAGCGAUCCAUCUCCAUCACCGUAAUGGCGUCCCCAUUAAUCGGCCAUAAACUAAUAAAGCAAGCACUUUCCACCCCUCAGCCCCCCCACCCCAACUUCAUUAAGUCUUUAGUACAUUAAUAUGUCUUACUUAGUGUCAGCUAAGCCUCUUUCUCUGUUUGGGGUGGAGCUUGAUAGGGUGGGCAUCUCACCCGGUGGACCGGAGACAUGACCCAUUCCCGGGCCUGGGCAGAGGGGCUGCUGACUCAGGACCACCCACUCCUCCCCACCUCCUCCCCGCUCCAAUUGCUGCCCC
rnacentral:lncRNA from 1 species